UCCGUAGGCGGAUAAUUAAGUCAGAGGUGAAAUCCCACAGCUCAACUGUGGAACUGCCUUAGAUACUGGUUAUCUUGAGUUUUAGUGAAGUAGAUAGAAUGUGUAGUGUAGCGGUGAAAUGCAUAGAUAUUACACAGAAUACCGAUUGCGAAGGCAGUCUACUAACUAACAACUGACACUAAUGGACGAAAGCGUGGGGAGCGAACAGGAUUAGAUACCCUGGUAGUCC
rnacentral:rRNA from 1 species